rnacentral:rRNA from 1 species
UACGGAGGGGGCGAGCGUUAUUCGGAAUUAUUGGGCGUAAAGGGCGCGUAGGCGGCCCGGUAAGUCAAAGGUGAAAUCCCUCGGCUCAACUGAGGAACUGCCUUUGAAACUGUCGGGCUUGAGGCCGGGAGGGGGUAGCGGAAUUCCCAGUGUAGCGGUGAAAUGCGUAGAUACUGGGAGGAACACCAGUGGCGAAGGCGGCUCACUGGUCCAUUACGUGAGCGCUGAGGUGCGGAAACGAUGGGGAGCAAACAGGG